GCACCUCCGCCUGCACGCGGGUAGCCGCGCUCGGUGUGUCCGCUUCGUGUCCCGGAUCGUUUUUGGAAAUAAUCGGGAUGGUUUAAACUUUAAGCGUUUUAAGUCCAGAAUCCCUAUUAUGGUAACUGAAGUUAUGUUUACUUUUAAGGUGUUUUACACUAUUUGUGCAAAUCAUGGUUCCACGUGACGUUACCCGGUCUUGUGUGAAGUUCACCAAUCAGAUGAUUUGGUUUAAAACUUUGUUUUAUCAUGAUUCAUGGUAUCUUACCGUCAAACAGUGGAGUAAAGUGAAGUGCGUGAUGAUUUCCUGCAGGCGGCAAAACGCCCGGUUUGUCUGUGCUGCGCGACGCCUGCAAGCCUCCAGAUGUGCGCUGGAUCGGGCGCGUGCGCCGAAUACCAACGCGAGCUUGACAUCACCGUGCUCAGUUUUCGCUCCUGAAACGCGCCGGACGUUUGCCUGCGUUUAUUCCCUGCGCUCGGACCCCAGAAAAUGCACUCGGUAAUCCGGAGUUCUUUCAGUAACAUGGACGGAUUGGUACGCCUUCACAUCGUAAGCGCCAAGGAUGCCAGCGGUUCA